AUACAGCAGUGAAGAAAACAGACAAAAAUGGAACUUGAAUUCCAGUGGGGGUGGAGGGAGACAGACAGUAGAGAAGAUACAUGAUUGAAAUGCAUGGUGUAUUAGACAGUGUGCCAAAUCAGCAUGGAAUCUGUUUGAAGACAUUGUUAGUGGCGAUUAAACCAACACCUGUGGUGCUAACAAUGCACAAAACUCAAGGGAAAGGAUGACAAGAUGCAGGACUGUGACCAAGUCUGUGCACGUGCAGCCAACUGCAACUAUAUCACGACUAUCUCCUGGCUGCUUGCAAUUUGAGAUACUGUUGAUUACAACAUACAGCCUUAUUUCAGAGAUGUAAAAAUAUGAAAAAAAGUGUCAUAAGUUUGAUGGAAUACAAUAUUAAAAUUUAAAUGUCCUCCCUAA